AAUUCAUUAAACAUUUCAGGGUCGGUCAUGAGAUUUUGAGUGCAAAACUUAAAUUGAGGAAAAAAAUCAUUGAUACGAAAGAUUUUUAUUUUUUUUGGUUGAAGAGAAUAAGAUUUCAUUGUCAAAUAAAGAUACAACUUACAAAGAAACUCAAAAUACAAAAGUCAAAAAAUAGAAAUACAGGGACUCCAUAACAAAAUAAAAAUCCAGCCUAAAAUACUAAAAUAGCAGGCCCAAAACAAAAAAAGCCCACAAAUUAUCAAAAUCGUAAAAUCUAACCCUAAACUAAGCUAGCCAUCAUCACCAUCAGUUACGCCGUCGCUGCCACAAGAAGAGCGAGGUCAAGAAGAACCAAGAAAGGAGAUCUAUAGAGUGUGGAUAUGAGAAAGCAAGCCACCGUGCAUCAUACUCAAGCGAUCUAUCAAGUAAUGGUCAAAAUCGACUAUAGAUUUACAUAAUAGAAAACAAAUUGACGAAAGUUAAACCACCAUAAUUAAUUAGAUUUUGUCUCUUUCAGAAUAGAAAAUAAAAAUGGAACCCUUGUAAGAUCGUUAACACUAGAAUCCACAUGGGUAUGAAGAUGAUAAACAUGAACAGUUUUGGUUUACCACCAUGCUAGCAAACCCUAAUUGGAUUUGGACCACUUGAUUAGGCAGGGAUAUAUAUAGCACUUCACCUAAAUCUCUGAGUGAUGAGGGACAGACUUCCAUUAUUUUAAAAUUUGAAUCAAACAUUAGAUUGAGAUUCCAUGGGCCCUUGGGCAAGCAAAACCUUGGCACAGCAGCUAAGAAAAAUCCAGAAUAGGCCUUUAGCCUGCCAGUGCCAGUGUCUAGCCCUGUGGGCCUGUCCACACUUCUGCAACAUCCAAUCAAAUGUUUAACUCUCUUUCUUUGGUUGCUGAGAAAGCAGAGGAAAUUGGAACAAAAUGUUGGAUGAAUCUUUUGGUGACGCAGCCCUGGUUCUUGUUAAUUUUGAACCAAAUUCUGUGCCAUUUCCUUGCGAAAUUUGAAUCUUUGUGACUUUACCGUGUUGGGCAUGUGAAUUUUCACCUUAUUACAAUCAUCAUCAACAAAAUCCUGAAAACAAACAACCAUGAAUGUUAUUUGUUUACUAUGCCGAUGAGGUUGAAUAAUUAUCAAGGAUUUUACUAAAGUCGGUCACUAUUUAGAUUGUUUAAUUUUCAGUUUAGUGGGCCCAAAGCCCAUAAACACAGAACCCAGAAUACAACAUCUUCUAAAGUCAAAGGCCUGCCAAUACACUCACGGGAGAGCGAAAUAUUUUAAGACCCAACCAAGUCGGCCCAGAUAGACCUCUAAUUACUCCAUGGAUGGUAAGUGGUCUCUCUGUGAGCUCCGCUCAAGUUGGGAUUUAUUUUUGGUCCUCAAACAGGGGUUUCUGCAAAUUUAUUUUACUUUAGGCCAUUUUCUGAAGAGUGGAUCAAACUGCUUAGGCAGCCAUUAGUUUACCCAUAUGACUGAAUGAGAGGACGCAAAUCCAAAAAAUACUUUUAAGCAAUUCGUGCAAGGCCUACCAUUAAAUUCUAGCUAUUUCAUGUAUUUUUGAAACAGACCUUCUGAUCAUAAAUUAUAGAGAACAAAGCAAAGAAGAAAUACAGAGAGAGGAGAUAUGGGGAAGAUGAUUGUUGAAAUUUCAAUGGGUAAACAUGAAAAACAACUGCCCACCUUCCCCGAAUUUGAUAUUGCAGGGAACUCUUUCGGAUCAGAGUGCAUUGAUUCUAGCACUACGCCGAUACACACAAUCCCUGCUCAUCCAAACCCACUAAACAUCAAUCAAAACCCUAAACCAAAAUCUAAAUCAUACACGCAAGUUGCAACAACAUAAAUAGAUACGCAGAGCCAGAGACA